rnacentral:tRNA from 1 species
GGUAGUAUGGCUGAGCGGUCUAAGGUGCUGGAUUAAGGCUCCAGCCUCUUCAGAGGCACGGGUUCGAAUCCUACCACUGUCA